UGUGCUAAAUUAAUCAAGUGCUGAUAAUUCUUCCUAUUCCAUUUUACCACUGCUAGGGAACCGGAGAGAAGGCAAUCAUUGGCGAGAAUACGAUGCGUGCGUCGGCCAUAGAUAGGGGCGAUGCGAACUUUUGGGAAUGUUCAUCGAGACAGUUGCGUCUGGCUAGGUCGCAGUAGUGGCAUACAAUCGGUUUAGGAUUCUCGGUCGUCUCCAUGUCCGAAAACUUCCGGUUCCCGAAGGUCGCCGUACGUUUCGAGACCAGUGCUUGGAUCGCAAAGCGGCCCGGGACACUCGAGAGAGGGCAAAACUGCUAUCGAUUACACCAAGGUUGCCAUCGAGGUGAGUCACUUGGCCCCGACAACCUACAAUACCUACAGGACGGAAAAGAAGCGAAGGUCGAGUACAACAUUGGUAAAGAGCCUGAAGACAAAAAAUUGUCAACAGUGCCAUUUGACACUCGGCAGCCGUAUCUUGCGUCGCUCCCAGUUUUCACCGUGGAAUACGUAUGAAUCUUGGCGACAAGUUUGCAUAA